CAGUCGUACUUACGGGUAAUCAGCCUUUUGGGUGUGAUUUUGUGGAGCGUGAGGAGUUAAACGCCUUCAUGCCUGCAUAUUCGUGCACUUUGGGUGUACUUGCCCGUGUGUAAGUUAACAUCAAUUUUGGUGAUCAUAAAAUGACUAGAGGAAUGUAGCUUCGAUCUCGUAUUGAAGUGUUAUAGUCCUUUGGGUGGAUGUGACGGGUUGGGAUUGAGGUAUUGCAACGGAUACCCGUUCGGGGCUACCCGUCUGAUCUCUGAAGGUUGCUCCGGUGCCGAAAGCGUGCUUACGGUCAUCGGAAGUGAUUUCAAAAGGUUAGAACGGGUUAAUUCGUUAAGG
rnacentral:rRNA from 1 species